GAUGAAGAACGUAGCGAAAUGCGAUAAGUAAUGUGAAUUGCAGAAUUCAGUGAAUCAUCGAAUCUUUGAACGCACAUUGCGCCCGCCAGUAUUCUGGCGGGCAUGCCUGUUCGAGCGUCAUUACAACCCUCAGGCCCCCGGGCCUGGCGUUGGGGAUCGGCGGAGCCCCCCGUGGGCACACGCCGUCCCCCAUAUGCAGUGGCGGUCCCGCCGCAGCUUCCAUCGCGUAGUAGCUAACACCUCGCGACUGGAGAGCGGCGCGGCCACGCCGUAAAACACCCAACUCUUCUGAAGUUGACCUCGAAUCAGGUAGGAAUACCCGCUGAACUUAAGCAUAUCAAUAAGCGGAGGA
rnacentral:misc_RNA from 1 species